rnacentral:rRNA from 1 species
UGGGGAAUUUUGCACAAUGGGCGCAAGCCUGAUGCAGCGACGCCGCGUGAGGGAUGAAGGCCUUCGGGUUGUAAACCUUUUUCGCUCAUGGUCAAGCCGCAGCUUUGGGUUGUGGUGAGGGUAGUGGGUAAAGAAGCCCCGGCUAAAUACGUGCCAGCAGCCGCGGUAAUACGUAUGGGGCGAGCGUUGUCCGGAAUUAUUGGGCGUAAAGGGUACGUAGGCGGUCUAUUAAGUCAGGUGUGAAAGCGUGAGGCUUAACCUCAUUAAGCACUUGAAACUGAUAGACUUGAGUGAAGGAGAGGAAAGUGGAAUUCCUAGUGUAGCGGUGAAAUGCGUAGAUAUUAGGAGGAAUACCGGUGGCGAAGGCGACUUUCUGGACUUUUACUGACGCUCAGGUACGAAAGCGUGGGGAGCAAACAGG